rnacentral:tRNA from 1 species
GGACCAGUAGCUCAGCUGGAUAGAGCAUCAGCCUUCUAAGCUGACGGUCGAAGGUUCGAAUCCUUCCUGGUUCA